CCUACGGGAGGCUGCAGUGAGGAAUAUUGGUCAAUGGACGAGAGUCUGAACCAGCCAAGUAGCGUGAAGGAUGACUGCCCUAUGGGUUGUAAACUUCUUUUAUAUGGGAAUAAAAUGUUCCACGUGUGGGAUUUUGUAUGUACUAUAUGAAUAAGGAUCGGCUCACUCCGUGCCAGCAGCCGCGGUAAUACGGAGGAUCCGAGCGUUAUCCGGAUUUAUUGGGUUUAAAGGGAGCGUAGGUGGAUUGUUAAGUCAGUUGUGAAAGUUUGCGGCUCAACCGUAAAAUUGCAGUUGAAACUGGCAGUCUUGAGUACAGUAGAGGUGGGCGGAAUUCGUGGUGUAGCGGUGAAAUGCUUAGAUAUCACGAAGAACUCCGAUUGCGAAGGCAGUUCACUGGACUGCAACUGACACUGAGGCUCGAAAGUGUGGGUAUCAAACAGGAUUAGAUACCCUAGUAGUC
rnacentral:rRNA from 1 species